ACUCGUGGCAGCUCGCUAUUCAACAAACGAUUUUUCCGAUUUACGACUACGUCCAACAGCCAUAAGAAAGCUGGGCAAGUUAAUCAUUAACUGUUAAUGUUCUUGUCCAAAUGAGUACAGACCAUGUUGAUGUUAGCUAACGUUGGCUAACUAGCUAACGUUACAGAAUUUUAAUUCUAUAAACUUUAAGUAUUUACUUUCAUUAUAGCUACGUUACGUAUAUGUUAGUUAAAUAGUGUAGUGUACUUAAGGUACUAUUGGCAUACUAGUUUUUCACAUGGUGUAGUUCGCAAACUUGGUAUAAUAUUGUAAUAACUUGCACGCAAAUUGCACUGUAACAUUAUAUACUACUACACCCAUUUGAGCCUAGUCAUACGUGUCACCAGAAUUAGCUUGAAUGCAAGAAAUAGAUGAAAGAACAUAAAAUGUUAUGUAUUGCAAUAAUUUGUUCCCUGAAAUACAUGCAAGAUACAACAGCAGUAACUAGCUUGAGCUCUCGAAGGAUGAGAGCAUUAGAACGAUGCUUGAAGUCAUAUAAAGGCUCCUACUCUUGGAUAUUUGUCUCAGUGUUGACUGGAUAAAAAGAGAGAUAAACCAAAAGAAACACUAAUGCUUCUUUAUAUAGACACUUUUGGACAGUAAUUCUCAGAUAAGCACACUUAAACUCUGCAGAUGUAUAUUGUCAGCUGGAAGACUUGCAAACCUAGUGACAUCUUCCAGGCAUGCGGUUGACAUGGAAACAACAAGAACAAGCGCGAAUCCGCAGUAGCUGCGACCGCACACGUGCAUGCAUUCAUGCACACUCCCUCUUCUUUGGUUCAUGACUAACCUUUCCAAAAAAUCUUGUGCAAAUCUGUGAACCCAUUCGGGAGUUAUGCGCCUUUUUGUGAUAGACCACAAUGUUUUUACAUGUGUACUUGUUUGCGGUGGUCUCUAAAGAAUUGAAGUGGCCCCAGCACUGACAAGAAAAUCAUGUCCUAAAUGUCUGUCUUUUAUGAGUACAUGGGGCAUUGGAGUAUACACGAGUGGGAUUUCAGGGAUCUUAGGAGAAUGAUUAGUUUCAGUGACAUUGGUGGCACUCAUAUUUUGUGUCAACCUCUGUCAAGCUAAGUGCUGGAACAGGAGCUCAACAGUCCUGUGAUUAAGUAAACAUGCUGCCAUUUUAAAUAAUUAAUUCCAAUGUGAAAUGACCAUUGUAGUGUACGUCUGAAGGGAAACUAGCUUGUCUAUUUCUUGCUGUUUUAUGAGCUCAUGAAUAGGAAGUAUUCAGAUUUUUCCCUCCUCCUUUGUCUUAUGUACUGAAAAGCAAUGGGGCUGAUAAUCAAUGCUUUUCUUGCAGUUGUAGAACUAGCAGAAAAUAUGUCACAAAUCUGGUUUCAGUAGAAUAAGCAGAAUAUGCUGAGUACCUAGUCUGAGUAGAAUAGCAUAUCUGUUACCUAGCAAGAGUAGAAUAACUAGAAUGUAACCUGUGGUAUGAGUUCCUUGCAAGUAGAAUAACCUGAAGAAGUAUAACCAAUAUAUACCAUAUGCCAAUGUCUGAGGAUACUGUGUAUGAUGUUUCAGGUUAAUCACAUCAUUUUAGGCCCACUCUUCUUUUGUGUUUUUAUUUAUUGAGCUCAAUGAGAACAUCCAUUAUCUAUACCUGCUUAUCCUGGACAGCGUUGCCGGGGGUGCCGGAGCCUAUCCCUGCAUGCACUGGGUGAGAGGCCGGAAUUGGAGGCAGUGAAUUAUUUAGAUUCAUCUUGAACUUACACCUUGUUUAGAUUGGACUGGCUGCCAAUGUAUUGCAGAGUCCAGUGAGAACAGUAAUUUAUUAAAAGUGGCUAUAUCAUCUCACAUAGUGUAAUGCUGCCACCUUGAGGCAGCAUUGCAGAUGACCAUGUGGUUUAAAUGUACUGUGACAUACAUUUUCAUUUUGAAAUGCAGAUUCCAUCUUGGGCUCAUUUGUGUUUAACCCUUUUAUGUGAUUAGAAUGUUAACUGAAUGUUCUAGUGCUGAUGUGGCUAUCACUAUUGUUAAUUAAAAGCAAUGGAGUUGUAGAACAAUGACUUUGAAUUUUGAAAAAAAAAAAAAAAAA